AGAUGACGCAUAUAAAAACGUUAAGAGAAUGUUAUCAGAUCUAGAAUUGAGCCAUUUGUUGGAGAAAUUCCAGGACAAUUUAAUCCGGGUAGGAAAUAUUUGGUGUUUAGUAUGAGUUAAUGAGAAUCGUGAUAGUUUAUUUGUAGUAAUUGUGGUUUCUUGUUUUCCAGGAUACUCUUCUUUGUGCUGAGAAGAAUGAGCUGAAGAAUACACUUCAGGUUGAGAAGUGAAAUUUGUAUAAUAUACGGAAAUUACACUGUAUUAACAAUCUCAAUUUAGAUACAACCCUAAUCUCAACCUGCAUGCCUGCAGAUUUUAUGUGUUAAGGCAGUACCUUCAGGCUUAGAUAGCUAGCUCCACGGCUUCUAUAUCAUUCUUGCAGUUCGCCAGUAACUUCAGGAUUCUCAAUUCAAGUUUUGAAGAGCACAUUCUAUGGCUAUGUUUCUCAAUUCUAAUCCUAAUAUUAUAUAUUGUGAAAUAACGAUUUUUCGUUUUAAAAUAGGAAGCAGGUUUUGCUCCAGGCGCAAUUCUUGAAAUCCAAUUAUAUCUUGAGAAAAAUGG